rnacentral:rRNA from 1 species
UACAGAGGUCCCAACCGUUGUUCGGAUUCAUUGGGCGUAAAGGGUGCGUAGGCGGCGGGGCAAGUCAGGUGUGAAAUCUCGGGGCUCAACCCCGAACUGCACUUGAUACUGCCUUGCUCGAGUACUGGAGAGGAGACUGGAAUUUACGGUGUAGCAGUGAAAUGCGUAGAUGAUCGUAAGGAAGACCAGUGGCGAAGGCGAGUCUCUGGACAGUUACUGACGCUGAGGCACGAAGGCCAGGGGAGCAAACGGG